UACGUAGGGGGGCAAGCGUUGUCCGGAAUCAUUGGGCGUAAAGAGCGUGUAGGCGGCCCGGUAAGUCCGCUGUGAAAGUCCAGGGCUCAACCCUGGAAUGCCGGUGGAAACUGUCGGGCUAGAGUCCGGAAGAGGCGAGUGGAAUUCCUGGUGUAGCGGUGAAAAUGCGCAGAUAUCAGGAGGAACACCAAUGGCGAAGGCAGCUCGCUGGGACGGUACUGACGCUGAGACGCGAAAGCGUGGGGGAGCAAACAGG
rnacentral:rRNA from 1 species